UUUAAUUAUACAAACGACGUCGUGUCGGGAGGAAGACUCUCUCGUCUCGUGUUCUCGACACUUCCAAUUUGGUGUGGAACUCUCGCUCGCUCUCGGCGUCUCUGUGUCUUGUUGCUGAUUGAGCAAGCUCCAGCGCUCUCAAGUAUAGAGAAAGAUUAUGGAUUUCAGAUGCAUUGAAAAAGCCUACAUUGUCACCUCACCACCAUCAGCCCACUGUGAAGGUGUGUUAUGUGAGUGUAAUCAAACACAAAUUUGCCAAUACGAAGAGUGGGAAGAACAUAGUUAAGAUAUGGCCAACUUCAUUCCAUGCACCCCCAACCUACUUGUAAAUUGCUGCAGUGAUAUAGUUGAAACUGAUCAAGUAUAUGCAUCAUCUGCUCCUUUCCUCAAGACCAGCGCUGAGAAACAGAUGAAAUAUUGCUUAAAUUACUCACUUGAAAAAAGAAACAAGAGAUAUCAUUGUCUGCUGUUGCUGAAAUAAUGAGAUGCGUGCUAGAUCUACAGAUUUGUAAGACAUUUAUGUAAGUGCGAUGCUUAACAGAGAGAGGAGAGUAUAGAGAAGAGACGACACAAGAGAUUUGUUAACGGGGUUCAGAUAUCCUACAUCCCCAGGAACAAAUCCAAAAUCAUUCACUAAAAUAAGAACGCAAAAGUCACAUUUGCCAAUGGUAUCUAGCACACACUUGUGCCUACCACUUUUAUCUACAUGAACAAAAGGAACCACUACUUUUUGUCUUUUACGACGAGUGUGAACCUCUAUAAAAACCACCAACAGAUUCUCUAUCUUGUUGGUGGGACAACACCACACACAACAUGUGUGCUUCUCUCAAUUUUAGGUCUAGGGUGCGUAACCUUCUUCUUCUUACCACCUCUUCUUUUUAUACCUCUUAGAGUUCUCCACAAACCCUAGGUUUCACAAGCUUCUUCCUCUUGUCUUGUGGGUAAAAGUUUGUUCUCUUUUUGUCAACUUGACACAUGCUUUUGUUCCUGUCGCACCUAAUACAAGCAUGCUUUUCUGACACAGCCGCUCUGCUGUUUGCUACAACUUGAAGUUUUUCCGCUCUGUUGCACUACACAACCUCUUCACGAGGUUUACCGUGUUUCCAACUCUGUUGCACUACACAACAUCUUCACGAGGUUUACCCUGUUUCCAACUCUGUUGCACUACACAACCACUAAACAUUGUCUGCUCUGUUUCCAGCUUUGUUGUACUUCAGGUUUACUUAACUGCUUUAUAUCUUUGCUCUGUUAUAGUUGCUCAUUUCUUUCUGCUCUAAUGCGCUUUCAGAUUCCUCAACUGAUUAUGAAUAUCUUGGCUGAGUUCUCACUUCUUGGAUCUUCAUAAUAAGACUCCAAAGGUUCAGCAUGUCACUUCAUUCCAUGUGAAUUCACAUUGAGCUGUCUUGGCUGUGGUAGAUUCUCUGAUUCUCUAUCAGAGGAAUCAUUGCGUCUGUGUCUGUAGCUGG